GCACGCGAAGGCACACCGUGCAGUCACGGCGUGCGUUCACAGUGGCAUCUCUGUGCAAUCACUGCAUGGAAAACGCCAUCAUAACCGCACAGAGAGCGCACGUGGUGAAUCACAGCGCCGUGCCCGCACUGCGAUGAAAAUGCACCGUAACCGCCGUGGCAUGUGUUGUGAACGGCCGCGUUCAACACAACAAUUAGUGAGUUGUCUUGUCACCACUUGACGUUAAUUUGUUUUGUUUUAUAAGUAUAAGAGCCAAUUACGUUCGAUUACUACAAAGCAGCUUAUUCUAGUGAACAAAGGUGGUAUGUUUUGGCGACGUUAUUCUCAUUGUGGCAGUUGACUCAGAUGAUUUUCUAAAUUUUUAAAAUGUCGAUCAGGCGACUUAUGACAAUGUGGUCAAUUACUUCAUCUAUUUAGGUGGUAUAAAUCCCGUGGAUUUUGCAGGACAUUAUUUUACAUGUGCCUUUACUAGCGAUAUAGAUAUUUUAUCUCAUGUCACGUGGCUGGGUACAAUUUAUACGCUUUAAAAGGAACUCGCUUCGCCGAAGCAUGUAAAGGUCACGUCUUUAAAAAUGUUUUUUCACAGAUGCAAUGGCUAGAAAUCGUGACUACUGUCGACCAACUAAUAUCGAGNUUGCUGAAGCAAUGACUUGCGCUCUUAAAAGUUCAAAANAGAGGCNACNAAAACGUCAAUUANUCGCGGAUUUGAACAACCGACAUCAGAUCAGCAAUCAGAUAAUCGACAACGUUGAAGAGAAAGACNGUCAAGUUCGUAGAUGUCAUGUGAAAAAAAGCAAUCUCUGCCAGAGUUCACAGAAUAUCGCCAGAGUCAGUUGCUACCUUUCAAAGCACUGAUGUAAGUUUAAGCAUUUGUAAACUACAUUAAUUGUCAUUUUGUCAACAUAUGAAAAAGUAAAAAAAUCUGAAAAGUUUAUAUGGCUGCAAUAAUACAAAAAACAUCAAGUUUGUCUUAUCACUCGUCAAGUUUCAGCAAAACAAAAAACAAAACUUGUUUAUCUGGCGUAAUGCCAGACGUUCAUUGUGUUGCCUAUUAUAAUAAAAUUACAUGGAAUUAUAAUUUACACUUUUUUUAUUCAGGCUUCAGAAGAUAUUGAAAAAAAUUCAGAGGUCGACAAGCAGGACAAGGACAAGCAUUCGGAUUAUGAUUUUAUGUUGCCUAUUAUCUAUUACAAUAAAAUUCCAUUGAAUUAUAAUUUACAGUUUUUUA